GCCGAGCGAUCGUAGCAGGUCAUGCAUCAUGGAAGACUCAUCGUAGUCCAGACCGUAAGACUCCGAUUGUAGAAGGCUCCUAUGAAGCAGCUCUCUAUGUAUUGCUCCCCUGUUUCCUCCAAGCUGGCAUCUCCUCGUGCUUCGACAAACCCCUCGGCUAUCCAUAAUCUGACGACGUCAGACCUGCGAAACACAUCGGCUUCUUUGAACAAGGCACAGUAGAGAAAGCAUUACUUGAGAUGGGACGCCAAGUCUUGGUAGCUCAGGAGGGACCAGCCAUCCUCCGGAGGCAACAGCUUCAUCUCGUGGACGUGGGCCGUCGCGAUCCCUUCGUUUCUGGUGGUCACCAGCACCCUGCUCCUCGCAAAGGAUUGCGGUGCAAGUCGUCCCAGAUCUCAGCCCUCCACACAUCAUCCAACACCAGCAAGAACUUGUUCCCUUUCAGGAGACCCUCCACCAUGGGCUCGAGCAAAGUCCGGCUCUGUGCUCCACCGUGACUUCCCCCGGCGCUAGUGACGAUAUCCCUGAGAAGAUCCGUCUCCGUGAACUCUUGGGACACGAACACCAUAUGAAGGUGAAUGUGAAGGACACAGAUAUGUUAGAAAUUGUACCUUCAUGGAGGAUUCAUUAAGCAAUACUGUUUUGUAUUCUUACGACUUUAAGAUAAAAGAAAAGAAAAAGAAAAAAAAAAAGGACUGGAUCGGCUUUGUGU